rnacentral:rRNA from 1 species
GAUGAACGCUGGCGGCGUGCUUAACACAUGCAAGUCGAACGAAGACAUCUGAGUGCUUGCACUUGGAUGGACUGAGUGGCGGACGGGUGAGUAACGCGUGGGUAACCUGCCUUAUACAGGGGGAUAACAGUUGGAAACGACUGCUAAUACCGCAUAAGCGCACGGUAUCGCAUGAUACAGUGUGAAAAACUCCGGUGGUAUAAGAUGGACCCGCGUCUGAUUAGCUUGUUGGUGAGGUUAAACGGGCCCACCAAGGCGACGAUCAGUAGCCGGCCUGAGAGGGUGAACGGCCACAUUGGGACUGAGACACGGCCCAAACUCCUACGGGAGGCAGCAGUGGGGAAUAUUGCACAAUGGGGGAAACCCUGAUGCAGCGACGCCGCGUGAGUGAUGAAGUAUUUCGGUAUGUAAAACUCUAUCAGCAGGGAAGAUAAUGACGGUACCUGACUAAGAAGCACCGGCUAAAUACGUG